GGACUACCACCGGCUGGCAGCCCUGCACCACCGGUUGGGCCAUGGCAAGCUGGCGGAGCACUUCUACCUCAAGGCCCUGUAGCUCUGCAACUUGCCCCUGGAGUUUGACGAGGAGACCCUCUACUACGUGAAGGUGUACCUGGUGCUCGGUGACAUCAUCUUCUACGACCUGAAGGACCCCUUUUGAUGCAGCCGGGUACUAUCAGCUGGCACUGGCAGCUGCCGUGGACCUGGGCAACAAGAAGGCACGGCUGAAGAUCUACACGCGGCCGGCCACCAUCUCCCACAACUUCCUCCUGGACCGCGAGAAGUCGAUCCUCUUCUACCAGAAGGCCAGGACCUUCGCCACAGAACUCAACGUCCGCAGGGUCAACCUACCUCCUCUGCCACUCUGCGGGUGGGCCCCUGGUUGACCCUCAGCCACCCUCGCUGAGGACAGCAUCCGAGGGAAUGGGUUUUGUGCAAGGAGGAUGGUCUCCUGCCUCUCCUGGUGUCUCCGUGGCUCAUUUUCUGGGAAAUGGAGGCAUGAAAACAGGGUUCAAAUAGCAAUAAAUGGUUUUUUUGCAAUAACAUA